ensembl:lncRNA
GGAAAGCUGACCUUGCCAGAAUUACUUUAAUUGUGCAAUAUCGCCAUUUAAAAGUACCUACUGAGAAUAAAACACCAAGAGAUGUUUUUACUGUGGAGACGUGUAGUCAUCGUUACUUUGGGUAAAAAAUAUCACCGAAAAGUUGUCUGUUUAGGUAUUCCUAAAUGGGGAAAAAAAAGCAUAGGAAAAGAUAGCACUCCAAAAUUUCCUAAAAUGAGGCUGUAUCGACAGUUAGCUUGAAGUGUGUUCCGUGCUCCAGCUGGAGUUUCUUCUGGCCAGCAGAUGGAGACGAUGCAGCUGAGUAUCAGAGUGCCGUGCACUGUGCUAGGGGAGCUUAUUGCUCCUUAGUCUCUGGUUGGGGAAGGUGUCUCUUACCAGGGCUGUUCUACAGGAAGGUGUUAACGACCGUGCUGUAUGAGUGACUGUGCAACUUGGCCCUGUGUUUGAGCACGAUCCUGAUGCGGUGCAUGGAAAAGGAGACAAAGGAAAAUAAUUGGAAGCCGUGGUCACAAAUUACAAAUAUGUAAAUUGGGUGAAACAGUUGGGCAUGGGAAAAACACAUACCACCCUCACCUGCACUCGGCAUCUCAGAAAACUAAGAGAUCGUACAGAGAGCAUCCCUGUCUGUCUGCCAGCAUCACAACCUCGGGAAUAGGACAGCAAUCAUCACAGACAUUUCCAGCUCACGGGAAGAGUCCACACUGCCAUGCAUGCUGAACAGGUGAAGUGCAGUCUUUGCAGUGAUUGACCAGUGGGGACAUUUGCAAAGGGAAG